rnacentral:rRNA from 1 species
UUCUGCCACCGAAUACAUUAGCAUGGGAUAAUGGAAUAGGACCCUGUCCUCCUAUUUUCAGUUGGUUUUGGCAGCGCGAGGACUAGGGUAAUGAUUAAUAGGGAUAGUUGGGGGCAUUAAUAUUUAAUUGUCAGAGGUGAAAUUCUUGGAUUUAUGAAAGAUUAACUUCUGCGAAAGCAUCUGCCAAGGAUGUUUUCAUUAAUCAAGAACGAAAGUUAGGGGAUCGAAGACGAUCAGAUACCGUCGUAGUCUUAACCAUAAACGAUGCCGACCAGCGAUUAGGAGACGUUGAAUACAAAACACCACCAUCGGUGCGGUCGUCCUUGGCGUCGGUUUCCGCCGGCGCGAGGGCGGCUUAGCCCGGUGGCACCGGUGAAUGACUCCCCUAGCA